rnacentral:rRNA from 1 species
GUGGGUAGCGGUGAAAUUCCAAUCGAGCCCGGAGAUAGCUGGUUCUCCCCGAAAUAGCUUUAGGGCUAGCCUCAAGGUGAGAGAUACGGAGGUAGAGCACUGAAUGUCCUAGGGGGUAUUGCACCUACCGAAGACUAUCAAACUCCGAAUGCCGUCAUCUUAUACUUGGGAGUCAGACUGUGGGUGAUAAGAUUCAUAGUCGAAAGGGCAACAGCCCAGAUCGUCAGCUAAGGUCCCUAAAUGUAAGUUAAGUGGUAAAGGAUGUGGGAUUGCACAGACAACCAGGAUGUUGGCUUAGAAGCAGCCACUCAUUCAAAGAGUGCGUAAUAGCUCACUGGUCGAGUGAUCCUGCGCCGAAGAUUUCCGGGGCUAAAACUUACUACCGAAGCUACGGCAUCAGUAAUGAUGGGUAGGGGAGCUUCCCAUACGGGUUGAAGCAUGACCGUAAGGACAUGUGGACAGUAGGGGAGUGAGAAUGUUGGCAUGAGUAGCGAGAUGUGGGUGAGAAGCCCACAGGCCGUAAACCCAAGGUUUCCAGGGGAAGGUUCGUCCGCCCUGGGUUAGUCGGGACCUAAGCUGAGGCCGAAAGGCGUAGGUGAUGGACAACAGGUUGAUAUUCCUGUACUACCGAUAACCGUUUGAGAGAAGGGAUGACACAGUAGGAUAAGCUAAGCACACUGUUGGUUAU